rnacentral:rRNA from 1 species
AACGAACGCUGGCGGCAUGCCUAACACAUGCAAGUCGAACGAGACCUUCGGGUCUAGUGGCGCACGGGUGCGUAACGCGUGGGAACCUGCCCUUAGGUUCGGAAUAACUCCCCGAAAGGGGUGCUAAUACCGGAUAAUGUCUUCGGACCAAAGAUUUAUCGCCUUUGGAUGGGCCCGCGUUGGAUUAGCUAGUUGGUAGGGUAAAAGCCUACCAAGGCGACGAUCCGUAGCUGGUCUGAGAGGAUGAUCAGCCACACUGGGACUGAGACACGGCCCAGACUCCUACGGAAGGCAGAAGUGGGGAAAAUUGAACAAGGGGCGAAAGCUUGAUCCAGCAAGGCCGGGUGAGUGAUGAAGGCCUUAGGGUUGUAAAGCUCUUUUACCCGGGAUGAUAAUGACGGUACGGGGAGAAUAAGCUCCGGCUAACUCCGU